GGGUGGUAAUACCGGAUGCUCCGCUCCAUCGCAUGGUGGGGUGGGAAAUGCUUUUGCGGCAUGGGAUGGGGUCGCGUCCUAUCAGCUUGUUGGCGGGGUGAUGGCCCACCAAGGCGUUGACGGGUAGCCGGCCUGAGAGGGUGACCGGCCACAUUGGGACUGAGAUACGGCCCAGACUCCUACGGGAGGCAGCAGUGGGGAAUAUUGCACAAUGGGCGCAAGCCUGAUGCAGCGACGCCGCGUGCGGGAUGGAGGCCUUCGGGUUGUAAACCGCUUUUGUUCAAGGGCAAGGCACGGUUUCGGCCGUGUUGAGUGGAUUGUUCGAAUAAGCACCGGCUAACUACGUGCCAGCAGCCGCGGUAAUACGUAGGGUGCGAGCGUUAUCCGGAUUUAUUGGGCGUAAAGGGCUCGUAGGCGGUUCGUCGCGUCCGGUGUGAAAGUCCAUCGCCUAACGGUGGAUCUGCGCCGGGUACGGGCGGGCUGGAGUGCGGUAGGGGAGACUGGAAUUCCCGGUGUAACGGUGGAAUGUGUAGAUAUCGGAAAAA
rnacentral:rRNA from 1 species